GACGAACGCUGGCGGCGUGCUUAACACAUGCAAGUCGAACGGAAAGGCCCUGCUUUUGUGGGGUGCUCGAGUGGCGAACGGGUGAGUAACACGUGAGUAACCUGCCCUUGACUUUGGGAUAACUUCAGGAAACUGGGGCUAAUACCGGAUAGGAGCUCCUGCUGCAUGGUGGGGGUUGGAAAGUUUCGGCGGUUGGGGAUGGACUCGCGGCUUAUCAGCUUGUUGGUGGGGUAGUGGCUUACCAAGGCUUUGACGGGUAGCCGGCCUGAGAGGGUGACCGGCCAAAUUGGGACUGAGAUACGGCCCAGACUCCUACGGGAGGAAGCAGUGGGGAAUAUUGCACAAUGGGCGGAAGACUGAUGCAGCAACGCCGCGUGCGGGAUGACGGCCUUCGGGUUGUAAACCGCUUUCGCCUGUGACGAAGCGUGAGUGACGGUAAUGGGUAAAGAAGCACCGGCUAACUACGUG
rnacentral:rRNA from 1 species